rnacentral:rRNA from 1 species
AUUGAACGCUGGCGGUAGGCCUAACACAUGCAAGUCGAACGGCAGCACAGUAAGAGCUUGCUCUUACGGGUGGCGAGUGGCGGACGGGUGAGGAAUACAUCGGAAUCUACUUUUUCGUGGGGGAUAACGUAGGGAAACUUACGCUAAUACCGCAUACGACCUACGGGUGAAAGCAGGGGAUCUUCGGACCUUGCGCGAUUGAAUGAGCCGAUGUCGGAUUAGCUAGUUGGCGGGGUAAAGGCCCACCAAGGCGACGAUCCGUAGCUGGUCUGAGAGGAUGACCGCCCACACUGGAACUGAGACACGGCCCAGACCCCUACGGGAGGCAGCAGUGGGGAAUUUUGAACAAUGGGCGCAAGCCUGACCCAGCAAUACCGCGUGGAGGAAGAAGGCCUUCGGGUUGUAAACCCUUUUUUUUGGGAAAGAAACGCCGCGGGUUAAUACCCGGCUGUCAUGACGGUACCAAAAAAAUAAGCCCCGGCUAACUUCGUG